rnacentral:rRNA from 1 species
UACGUAGGGUGCAAGCGUUGUCCGGAAUUAUUGGGCGUAAAGAGCUCGUAGGCGGUCUGUCGCGUCUGCUGUGAAAACCUGGGGCUUAACCCCGGGCCUGCAGUGGGUACGGGCAGACUAGAGUGCGGUAGGGGAGACUGGAAUUCCUGGUGUAGCGGUGAAAUGCGCAGAUAUCAGGAGGAACACCGGUGGCGAAGGCGGAUCUCUGGGCCUGUCCUGACGCUCAGGCGCGAAAGCUAGGGGAGCAAACAGG